UUUUAACACCCAUGAGACGCAAGUAACCUGACUGGUGGGAUGGCUUAUGCCUGCACCAUCGACCGACCAUGAUCUUCUGUGAAAGGUUUGAGUACGAGCAUACCUGUUGGGACCCGAAAGAUGGUGAACUAUGCCUGAGCAGGGCGAAGCCAGAGGAAACUCUGGUGGAGGCUCGUAGAUGUGCUGACGUGCAAAUCGCUUUUCGGACUUGGGUAUAGGGGCGAAAGACUAAUCGAACCAUCUAGUAGCUGGUUCCCUCCGAAGUUUCCCCCAGGAUAGCUGGAGCUUGAUCAGUUUUAUCGGGUAAAGCGAAUGAUUAGAGGUACCGGGGAUGAAACAUCCUCGACCUAUUCUCAAACUUUAAAUAGGUAAGACGUCUGGGUUGCUUAAUUGAACCCAGGCACUCAAUGAGAGCUCCAAGUGGGCCAUUUUUGGUAAGCAGAACUGGCGAUGCGGGAUGAACCGAAAGCUGAGUUAAGGCAAA
rnacentral:rRNA from 1 species